CGUAAAGAGCUCGUAGGCGGUUUGUCGCGUCUGCCGUGAAAGUCCGGGGCUUAACUCCGGAUCUGCGGUGGGUACGGGCAGACUUGAGUGAUGUAGGGGAGACUGGGAUUCCUGGUGUAGCGGUGAAAUGCGCAGAUAUCAGGAGGAACACCGAUGGCGAAGGCAGGUCUCUGGGCAUUAACUGACGCUGAGGAGCGAAAGCAUGGGGAGCGAACAGGAUUAGAUACCCUGGUAGUCCAUGCCGUAAACGUUGGGCACUAGGUGUGGGGGACAUUCCACGUUUUCCGCGCCGUAGCUAACGCAUUAAGUGCCCCGCCUGGGGAGUACGGCCGCAAGGCUAAAACUCAAAGGAAUUGACGGGGGCCCGCACAAGCGGCGGAGCAUGCGGAUUAAUUCGAUGCAACGCGAAGAACCUUACCAAGGCUUGACAUGAACCGGAACGGCGCAGAGAUGUGUCGGCCACUUGUGGCCGGUUUACAGGUGGUGCAUGGUUGUCGUCAGCUCGUGUCGUGAGAUGUUGGGUUAAGUCCCGCAACGAGCGCAACCCUCGUUCCAUGUUGCCAGCGGGUUAUGCCGGGGACUCAUGGGAGACUGCCGGGGUCAACUCGGAGGAAGGUGGGGACGACGUCAAAUCAUCAUGCCCCUUAUGUCUUGGGCUUCACGCAUGCUACAAUGGCCGGUACAAAGGGUUGCGAUGCUGUGAGGUGGAGCUAAUCCCAAAAAGCCGGUCUCAGUUCGGAUUGAGGUCUGCAACUCGACCUCAUGAAGUCGGAGUCGCUAGUAAUCGCAGAUCAG
rnacentral:rRNA from 1 species